rnacentral:lncRNA from 1 species
CCUAGAUGUUUAGCCAUGGUCAAAUUAGACCCCUGACUUUCUGGAAACAAAAUAUGUAGUUACCUUUUACUCUGACCAUCAUCUCCCACCUGCCUAAGGUACUUAGUCCUUAGUUAGACGGCCUCUAUGCCAGGCCUGCAAUUAUUAAAUGCUCAUCACUGCAUGGAGAAUAAAAUUUGUCUUUCCUGCCUUAAAGUUAAUUUCGGUCUUCUGGCUCAAAUCCUGAUCUGGUCCACUUAAGUGUUCGAAGUCAAGUUUCUGAAAAGAUUAGAGAAGAACAUCCCCCCAAAAUUGCCCACACUAACUACAGACAACAAACAAGACUUUAUUUAAAUAAGGAGACAGCCUUCUAAAUACAUACAUUCUCUAGUGAAGUAUUUUAUUAAUUUGUAUAAUUUAAUGAUUUUAAGCACAAGUACAUUGGAGCACAUUUAAAUUUUAGCAAUAUGAACAUCUAAUUUUCAGCACAUAAUGAUCCCUUUCAUGGGGUCUUCAAGAUAAAGAUUCCUUAAUCUUGUAAGCAAUGUAAUUAAAGUAGGCAUUAAUCAUGUAGGCUUUUGUGUUGAAGUUUACGAUGCAAAAGCCUAUUAGCUAUCCCAUCAUGAAAGCCCAUCGGUGCAAGGCUUAGGAAUUUUUAAGAGGCUGGAUGGGAAAACUACUCAAAAUUCUGAACUGCCUAAGAGGGGCCAGCUGCAAACAUUCAACAGCUCUACAGGUCUUUUUGGAAAAAGAGAAAAAAGGCACUUAUCUAUCCCUAACAUGCAAUACUGCAGAUCCAAGUUACACUUAUCUGUCAACAGCAGUCUGCUGUUUCCUGCUCCGAGAUGGAAUGAAGCAACUCUUCUGCUUAUGAAGAGAAACCUGUCUGAGGCAAACGAAACAUUGGCACACUGCACCGCCUCGCAGCCGCUCGAUCCCACUCAUCUCAACAAGCUCAGCUUCUUUUUACUCCAGGCUUAAUGCAGCAUUUUCACUUCAUUUCUAUUCUGCUUUUGUAAAAGCAGUUUUGAGAUGAACAUUUGAUCUUCACUGUUUUUCAUCAAUUCUUUACUUUUGUGGAUAAAGCUUGGUAGAUAAGCCAUAACUUUUAAAGGUAUUGCCAUAACUUUAUACUGGUUGCUUUCAUUUGCUUAAAUUUUUGCAUAUGCAGCUUUUCAUCAGUAGGAACAAUCUCUGGCUCAUGCUCAUUCCCCAUGGAGACAUGACAUUAUUUUUUCUGCCUUUACUUAUCACUCAUUCACCAAGGAGCUGCUCCCUCUGCAUCUACGUCAUCACACUGCCAGGCUGGUUAUGACUCAGAUGGUGUUAUCUGAAAAAGGUCUACAGAAAAAAAAAGGUUUCCCCUCCCUCAUCAACAAAAGCCCACCCUCUAAAAGACAUUCAGGCUGAAUUAUCAUAAUUCUUAAAUUAUAAGUUACAAAUAAACACAAGUAUACAAUGCACAAGAAGAAAAAAAGCAUACCUUUACAUCUUGUUUAGUCACAAGGAAAAUCAUUUCUCCUACACUAGGAAAAAGACUUGCUUAUACAAAACUGAGAUAGUAUCUCUUACUUGAUAAUAUAAAAGCUAUCACCAGAAGAAAUUCCUUCAGGGUCAUUAAAGCCACUUCCUUUGUUCCUAUAGUAGUUAUUAAGAUACAUUAAGUCACCUGAAAAAAAUUUCAAAAGAGAACCACACACUACAAUCUAUAUUCAUCCAACAGCUUCAGAAGAGUCCCCACUGUAGCAUCACAUCAUCCCAGUGGACCAGACCAACCCCCAAGCCCUACGCUUUCGAGGGACCGGCAGAGGAACCAACCUUCCUUAGCUGCCCGCCUCAAAAAAAGAAAAAGGAAAAAAGAAGCAAAAACUGGAUUGGGAGUUACUUGCCAACUUGAAAGCUGAGAUUUCCUGUUUUUCCAAAUAUUUAAGUUCUCUGGUAUGAUUAUCUGAAAUCAUAAACUAAACAAUUACCUAACACCCCCACCCACCCAAACACAAGGCCACAGCCAACUAAGUUUUACCCCUCCCCUUUAAUGAAAUAUUUUAAAUCACGGUGCUGUAAAACUUAACUUCAACCUCUGGCCUAGCCAAGCUCCUGAGGUUCUCCUGAGGUGACUGUGAACCAAAGCCGCACUGUGCUGACUUCAGCGGCAACUGGGAAAACUCUUCCAAGGACAAAAGGCAGCUCCAGUCCCUGAAGGUGUCGUGCCAACAGCAUAGCAGUACACGCCUUCUCUAACCCAGUGUGUCAACACAACUAUAGCAUCUGUGGAAAAUCUUAGAAAAAAAACGUUUCCCCCACCCACUCCUCCCUGUUAAGACCACUCCCAAAUAUUUCAAGUAAAAGUGUUUAGGAUUUUACAAAUCUCAUUAAGGGAGGGGGAAAGAGUAAACUACCAGCAAUUCCGCCAUGGCCAGCUCCUCCACACUCAGUGUGAAAGCUAGCAUCCAUCCUCUACUUCCUACAAACUGUAAACCUGGCGAGCUCUGCUUAUCCUGAGAGUGGAUUUCCUUUUUUCUGGUUCCCUUGAGUCAUCUGUUCAAACUACAACGUCUUACAAAACUGGGAGGUUGUGCUGGCUCUACCAUUCAUUCCCCUCUGAGCGGUUAAAGACAACUUGCCAUCUACCAUUCUUCUUUCUGGGCCUUGGCAGUCAGCCCUCAAAAGCUUCUGACAAGAUGCAAGAGGACAUAACCCUGAAAAAGAAAAACCUACAACACCCGCAAAGGCCUACAUACAGCCCCAGAUAUAUCUCUUUACACAGAAGCCUACAACUCCCCCAUAACUAUUAAGACAAAGUAAACAAGUUACCAUCCAAGUUACAGAAAACCACCACCAUGUUGCCGACCUCAAGGAAUGUUACCGCACCGCAUGCUCUCCCUGCAGC